GCACAGCGGUGGAGCAUGUUGGUUUAAUUCGACGCAACGCGAAGAACCUUACCAGCUCUUGACAUGUCAGGUCGGUUUCCAGAGAUGGAUUCCUCCCAGCAAUGGGCCUGAACACAGGUGCUGCAUGGCUGUCGUCAGCUCGUGUCGUGAGAUGUUGGGUUAAGUCCCGCAACGAGCGCAACCCUCGUCGUUAGUUGCCAUCAUUAAGUUGGGAACUCUAGCGAGACUGCCGGUGACAAACCGGAGGAAGGUGAGGAUGACGUCAAGUCAGCAUGGCCCUUACGUCCUGGGCGACACACGUACUACAAUGCGAGGGACAGAGAGCAGCCAACCCGCGAGGGAGAGCGAACCUCUUAAACCCUGGCACAGUUCAGAUUGCAGGCUGCAACUCGCCUGCAUGAAGGAGGAAUCGCUAGUAAUCGCAGGUCAGCAUACUGCGGUGAAUCCGUUCCCGGGCCUU
rnacentral:rRNA from 1 species